rnacentral:rRNA from 1 species
GACGUAGGAGGCGAGCGUUGUCCGGAUUCAUUGGGCGUAAAGAGCACGCAGGCGGUUUGGCAAGUCGGAUGUGAAAGCCCCGGGCUCAACCUGGGAAUUGCGCUCGAGACUGGUCUGCUUGAGUUCGGGAGAGGAGCGUGGAAUUCCCAGUGUAGAGGUGAAAUUCGUAGAUAUUGGGAAGAACACCGGUGGCGAAGGCGGGUCUCUGGGGCAGUAACUGACGCUGAGGAGCGAAAAGCUGGGGGAGCGAACAGG